rnacentral:rRNA from 1 species
UACGAAGGGGGCUAGCGUUGCUCGGAAUUACUGGGCGUAAAGGGCGCGUAGGCGGAUCGUUAAGUCAGAGGUGAAAGCCCAGGGCUCAACCCUGGAAUUGCCUUUGAUACUGGCGAUCUUGAGUACGGGAGAGGUGUGUGGAACUCCGAGUGUAGAGGUGAAAUUCGUAGAUAUUCGGAAGAACACCAGUGGCGAAGGCGACACACUGGGCCCGUUACUGACGCUGAGGCGCGAAAGCGUGGGAGCAACAGG